CCGAGUCGUGCGUGAAAGAGGUGGCGUAGCUGAUGGCUUGUGUAACACCCCGAGAAUAAUGCUACAGUAAUCUCCCCUUAAUGGUGGCCAUGUCAUCAUUAUUACUAUGUAGCUUGCCACUUGUCCAAAAAUAAAGCCUUUUUAAAUUUAAAAUAAGUCAAAUAAAUUAUUUCUUUGGGUAGUAAAACUAAAAUGUUCACCUUAUCCUAUAAAUUUCCGAUGAUCAUGAUCAUGUUGAAUCCAACAUUAUUUGACACACCAAUUAAUUCCUAGGAAUUUAUGACGCGGGCCAACAACAAAUAAAAUGGUCUUUCCAAUUUAAACAAUUGUUUAAACUUUCCCAAAUAAAAUGAAACUUCGUGUGUAGCACCAAAAUAUUGUACUUGAGUUAUGUGUGGAGUACCAUGUAGAACAAAAAUCAUUUGUUGCUGACAAUAAAUAAAACAAGAGCUAUAGCAAUAAACAGAAAGGAAAGUAAUGAAACAAAAUACACUACUGUGCACUAGGCCCAAUCGUGGCCACAGUGCAGCCCAGCCCAGCACCACGGCCUUUUCUUCGACCUCUCGGCAGGAGAGGCAGAGGAAGGCGUGGCGGCCAUCCAGGCCACCAUGGCUGUCGAUGUCGCCGUGUCGGCGAUCCCGCGGCCCCGUGGAUGGAUAAGAAAGGUUCCGUCACCCCCUGGAGGAAUCCGUGACCGCCCACAUCCAUCUCCCCCUCUUCCCCCCAUCUCCACCUCUCCCUCUCUGUCGUUCUGGAGGAAGGGCCGACGCGCCCUCCGCCGUCCACCACGCGCCACCGCGGCCAUCGACCUCCCCUCGACACUCCGCCCUGACCAGGAGCUCCGGGACGCUCCUCCGCUUCUUCUUCGCCAACUAGCACAAGCCGGGACGCCACAUCGACGCCGCCCUCGCCAAUCCCCUCCGCUGGCGUCCGCCUCUGCCUCACCGUCGAUCCGCCGCCAUCCGCCGCUCGGUUUGCCCAUCGUCGACAAGCUCCGGCCAACCCGACCCCUCCACGAUCUUUGGUAUGGUGGACCCCUUAAGCCAGAAGCCACCGCUGACGGAUACUACUACGUGGAGACCGACGACGACCAGGAGUAGUUAGGAGGUCCCAGGCAGGAGGCCUUGCCUCUUCGAUCGUUGAUGUUUGUGCUAGCCUUUUAAGGAAUCCU